rnacentral:rRNA from 1 species
CCUACGGGUGGCAGCCGUGAGGAAUAUUGGUCAAUGGACGAGAGUCUGAACCAGCCAAGUAGCGUGAAGGAUGACUGCCCUAUGGGUUGUAAACUUCUUUUAUAUGGGAAUAACAUUUUCCACGUGUGGGAUUUUGUCUGUACCAUAUGAAUAAAGAUCGGCUAACUCCGUGCCAGCAGCCGCGGUAAUACUGAGGAUCCGAGCGUUAUCCGGAUUUAUUGGGUUUAAAGGGAGCGUAGUUGGAUUUUUAAGUCAGUUGUGAAAGUUUGCGGUGCAACCGGAAAAUUGCAGUUGAAACGGGCAGUCUUGAGUACAGUAGAGGUGGGCGGAAUUCGUGGUGUAGCGGUGAAAUGCUUAGAUAUCACGAAGAACUCCGAUUGCGAAGGCAGCUCACUGGACUGCAACUGACACUGAGGCUCGAAAGUGUGGGUAUCAAACAGGAUUAGAUACCCUUGUAGUC